GACGGAGGGUGCAAGCGUUGUUCGGAAUUACUGGGCAUAAAGGGUGCGUAGGUGGCUUGUUAAGUCAGGGGUGAAAGUUUUCGGCCCAACCGGAAAAUGGCCUUUGAUACUGGCGAUCUCGAGUCCGGAAGAGGUGAGUGGAACUCCUAGUGUAGAGGUGGAAUUCGUAGAUAUUAGGAAGAACACCAGUGGCGAAGGCGACUCACUGGUCCGGUACUGACGCUGAGGUGCGAAAGCGUGGGGAGCAAACAGG
rnacentral:rRNA from 1 species